rnacentral:rRNA from 1 species
UCAGAAGCAGGCCAUGCAUUCAAAGAGUGCGUAAUAGCUCACUAGUCGAGAGGUCCCGCGCCGAAAAUGUCCGGGGCUGAAACACACUGCCGAAGCCCGGGGAUGUACCAAGUACAUCGGUAGAGGAGCAUUGGAUGCGGGAGGAAGCGGCACCGGAAGGAGCCGUGGACCGCAUCGAAGAGAGAAUGCCGGAAUGAGUAGCGAGAGGAAGGUGGGAAUCCUUCCGGCCGAAUAUCCAAGGUUUCCAGAGUAAAGCUGAUCUGCUCUGGGUAAGUCGGGGCCUAAGGCGAGGGCGGGAGCCGUAGCCGAUGGACAACAGGUUGAGAUUCCUGUACCGCGAUAUGACAGAACUGUGGGGACACGCGUGGAAAGCAUAAGCCGGGAAUGGAAAGACCGGCGCAAGCGGGGUAGGGGCUGCAUAGGCAAAUCCGUGCAGCGUAACCCGAAGCCGUGACGCGUACCGAACUGCAAGUAGGGAAGUAUGCGAGCCAUGCGUCAAGAAAAGCCGCUAUCGCUCAUAUCGCGCCCGUACCGCAAACCGACACAGGUAGAUGAGGAGAGAAUCCUAAGGCCGACGGGAGAAGCAUUGUCAAGGAACUCGGCAAAAUGACUCCGUAACUUCGGGAGAAGGAGUGCCAUAGAGAUAUGGCCGCAGAGAAUUGGCCCAAGCAACUGUUUAGCAAAAACACAGGUCUAUGCGAAGCCGCAAGGCGAGGUAUAUGGGCUGACGCCUGCCCGGUGCUGGAAGGUUAAGGGGAGAGGUUAGAGCGAUCGAAGCCUUGAACUUAAGCCCCAGUAAACGGCGGCCGUAACUAUAACGGUCCUAAGGUAGCGAAAUUCCUUGUCGGGUAAGUUCCGACCCGCACGAAAGGCGUAAUGAUUUGGGCACUGUCUCGACAAUGCACCCGGUGAAAUUGAAGUACCAGUGAAGAUGCUGGUUACCCGCGCCAGGACGGAAAGACCCCAUGGAGCUUUACUCCAGCUUGAUACUGGGAUCCGGUAUUGCAUGUACAGGAUAGGUGGGAGGCUAGGAAGCGAUGACGCCAGUCGUCGCGGAGCCGCUGUUGGGAUACCACCCUUGCAGUGCUGGGUUUCUAACCAGCAGCCGUGAACCGGCUGGGGGACAAUGUCAGGCGGGGAGUUUGACUGGGGCGGUCGCCUCCGAAAGGGUAUCGGAGGCGCUCAAAGGUCCUCUCAGAAUGGUCGGAAACCAUUCGCAGAGCGCAAAGGCAGAAGAGGGCUUGACUGCGACACCGACGGGUGGAGCAGGUACGAAAGUAGGACUUAGUGAUCCGGUGGUAUAAAGUGGGAUUGCCAUCGCUCAACGGAUAAAAGCUACCCUGGGGAUAACAGGCUUAUCACUCCCAAGAGUUCACAUCGACGGAGUGGUUUGGCACCUCGAUGUCGGCUCAUCGCAUCCUGGGGCUGAAGUAGGUCCCAAGGGUUGGGCUGUUCGCCCAUUAAAGCGGUACGCGAGCUGGGUUCAGAACGUCGUGAGACAGUUCGGUCCCUAUCCGGCGCGGGCGUAGGAUAUUUGAGAGGAGCUGUCCUUAGUACGAGAGGACCGGGAUGGACUGGCCGCUGGUGGAUCUGUUGCGCCUCCAGGCGCAUGGCAGAGUAGCCAAGCCGGGACGGGAUAAACGCUGAAGGCAUCUAAGCGUGAAGCCCCCCUCGAGAUGAGAUAUCCCUGGCGUUAAGCCAGUAAGACCCCUUGAAGACGACGAGGUAGAUAGGAUAGAGGUGGAAUUGCAGCAAUGCAUGGAGCUGACUAUUACUAAUCGGUCGAGGGCAUGACCAG